GAGAAUAUUAUUACCGUACCUUAAUUGUUUGGAUGAGGUGAACCUCGAAGGAGGUGCCUCAGAUUAAAAAAUGUUCAGGGAGACGUGAUUUAUAGAGAUGCACCAAGUGCUACUUUCUUGGCCAAUGCCAAUUUCUGGCUGACCAGUGGAUUCCAAUUUUCUUUCUUUCUAAGAACUAUAAUUGGCAGCAUACGCCAGCAUUUUUGGGGUGGAAAUUUACCUCUGACUCCUCAUGCCUGCCACUACAGAGAUAGAAAGAAGCGGUCAAGUGGAACGCCACAUUAACACGGAUGAGAACAGAAAAGGAGAAGCCACUGCUGGUAAAAGCUCUUAAAAUAUAAACGCCACAUCAAUCCUCCAUCCCUGACGGCCUAUGCUUGGGACACAGCAGUGCAUUCUCCUCCACUGCAGUCUCACAGUAAAAUAAGAGCCUCUGAAGAGAACAAGCCAAACGGCGAAAUGAGCCAAUGAGUGUUGCUUUGGGGAGAGGUAAAGUGGAAGAGAAGGAGAAAAAAAACCUGGAAAGAGAAAAAGAAAAAGCAGAAGGCAUUAGACAGAAAAAGAAGACUUGAGAAAGAGGUGAAAAGGGGUUAGAGUAAGAAAAGACCACUGACCGAGGAGAAACAGAAGCAGAGCAAUAAGAGAGUACAAGGAAAUAGAGGAGCACAAAGACAGAGGACAAACAUUUC